rnacentral:rRNA from 1 species
UACGUAGGGGGCAAGCGUUAUCCGGAUUUACUGGGUGUAAAGGGAGCGUAGACGGCACGGCAAGCCAGAUGUGAAAGCCCGGGGCUCAACCCCGGGACUGCAUUUGGAACUGUUGAGCUAGAGUGUCGGAGAGGCAAGUGGAAUUCCUAGUGUAGCGGUGAAAUGCGUAGAUAUUAGGAGGAACACCAGUGGCGAAGGCGGCUUGCUGGACGAUGACUGACGUUGAGGCUCGAAAGCGUGGGGAGCAAACAGG